AAGUUAUCUUAAUGGGUGCUGUUGAGGGUUACCGUAUUGCUGGUGGACCUCUCGGUGAGGUGGUUGACCCACUCUACCCAGGUGGCAGCUUUGACCCCUUGGGCCUUGCCGAAGAUCCCGAGGCUUUUGCAGAGUUGAAGGUGAAAGAACUAAAAAAUGGUAGGUUAGCUAUGUUCUCUAUGUUUGGAUUUUUCGUUCAAGCCAUUGUGACUGGAAAGGGACCUAUCGAGAACCUCGCCGACCACCUUGCUGACCCGGUUAACAACAAUGCUUGGGCCUACGCCACAAACUUUGCCCCCGGAAAAUAAGCAAUAACUACACCAAAUGAGAAGUGAAUGACUUGAAUAUCGAAGUUUGAAUUUGUUAGUGUGUUAUAUUUUGUAAAACGCAUGGCAUGUUACAUCUUUUUUUCCCCUAAGUUUGUACAUAUUAAGUGAAUGAAAUGAAUGGUUUUACCGAAACAAGGGAGAGUGAAAUGACUGUGAAUGGUAUCAAGCAAUCUAUUACCAGAACAUCAAGUGUAACGAUGUCCUUUCAAAAAAAAAUAAAAAAAAAUCAAGUGUAACGAUGUUUUAAACCAGUGAAGUUUUUAUCAUAUUAACUUUUCAUAUUUUAUAAUUAUAUUUUAUUUUAAAGAGGAGCCUACACAACGGUAAAAGUUGAUUAAAAAUGUCACGAGUUCAAGUUCUGAAAAUAGUCUCUUGUGUAAAAAUAGAAUAAGACUGUGUGCAAUACACCAGAUGGUGAGACCCUUUCUCGGACUCUACGUAUGUGGUUGCCUUGUGCACCAGACUGUUUCUUUGUUUGCUACAAUUAUAUUUUAUUUUGUUAACCUUUUACAUGCCAUAUAUCUUUAGCUCAAUAUGAGAUCUUGUAAUGCCGUUUGAGCUGAAUUAUGGUUUCCCCGUAUGGAAAUCACCCAAGAUCUAAAUCAUAGCAAGUAGGAAUUUGAGAUGGACUCCAAAGUUGAUAUUGAUAUGGUUAAUUUAAAUCCUACCGAAUUGCUUUUAUUCAACAUUUCCUACAUGAGAUCGUUGCUAUUCUGAACCUCCCUUCAAGGAGAAGUUUCAUCUGUUAUAUUUAUAAAGAAACAAAUAAAUAUGUAGAUCUCCUAUGCUAAUAAGAGGCACACUACAAGAGUUGGUGUACAUUAUGUUUUUCUCAUGCUCAGAUUUUGAUGUAGACAAGUUGGCAGCGCGAAUCGAAGACGAAGUGGCGCGUAAGAAAGGUUUAGUCGGAUUGGUGCUGAUUUAGCAUCCGACGUCGGAAUAACAUGAAUUAAACCUUUUUGAAAAGCCCCGGACCUCACGAGCAAUACUCAUCGCUUUGUCAUGAUGUAGGAGUUAAUUUAAUCAUUCGAGGUCGUCUGAAGGCCCGAAAACCGCGUUUUAAUACUUCAGCAUAUUCUAGAACUUUAUAUUUUAUUUCGUUUUGUUAUUUUUCAGCAUAUACGGGUUUGUUAUUUCAUUUAGUAUUUAAACAGAACUUAUGUAGCCAAAGAGGCACUUUUCAUUCAAUAAAAAUAUUCGAGACUUUUCUCUCAAUUCUGGUGGAUUUUGGAAACUCUUAUUUGAUAGGUUUAUCGCUUACAACCUGUUGUUAUCUUUUAAGUUUAGCGUUUGCUAACCCUUGCUUCCAUUUUGCGUCAGAUUUUUGUUACUAUAUGAUGCCAAAGGUGGCUGUAUCUCUAAUAAGCUUUCGUAGUUUAAUUUCCUUUCCUAUCAAAUAAUAAAAAAUGUAACGAUCACCAAUAAACCAUGAAUGAAUAGAGCAAUUCUUGCUUGGGCACAACCACAAAUAUAAAUAAUUUAGACACACACAUAAAAAAAAACAGACACCCACACACACGCGCAUAUAUAUAUAUCAUUGAUUAUUUUCAAAAAUAUAUUAUUUUAUUGAUUUUUCUUUUAUAUGUUUUCACUUAUGUGUGUCCAAAUCAAAAUGAUAUGGGGUUAUGAUGGGUAUUUGUAUUGGCUGCAUUAUUGCUAAUACAAAUAUCCAUGUUUGUGAUGUUCGAUACUAUGUUCCAAUAUGUAUAUUAAUAAUUCUAAUAAUAUGCAAUAAAAGUAAUGUAUAUUAAAAAAUUACAUUGUACUAAUAUGUAUAUUCUAUGAUUGUUUCAUCUCCUAUUUGAUUACACAACCCAAUUAUCACAAUCUUCAUAGCAGAAAAGACAGUUUAAGUGAAUUGAGUACCAGAAGCUCGUCAUGAUCAAGAGAGCGUUGAGUGUACAUGCAAAUUAUCCACCGACAAGGUUCUUACAUUGGCAACAUAAGUUAAACUUAGGUUCUUAUGGUUUGUGAAUCAACUCCUAGACCAAUCGACAUCGACAAUUUUUUUAGUCGUUUAGAAUCAUAUAAAUUUUCAAUUUAAUUUGAUUAGUAAAAAAUAAAUAAUUGUAUGUAUAAGCAAUGACAUAUUAUUAUUUAAAUUUUAAAGCAUGCUUACCAAAUAAAUAUAAAAAAGAUCAUGCAUAUUUGUAACAACUUUCCAAAGAUACAAUCAAAUGAUGUGUUAGUCUACUGGAUAUAUUACUUUUAAGGGUUAAAUAUGUUUUUAGUCUCUAUAAAUAUACCAACUUUUCCUUUUAGUCAUUCUAAAAUUUUCGUUCAACUUUUAGUCCCUAUAAAAUUUUCAAUCACUACUUAUAGUCCCUAUUUUUAAAUUAAUUUUAGUAUUUUUUAAUGAAAUUGUGCAGAAAUGUGUAGAAUAUUGUAAAAAUAUUUCCCAAAAAAAUUAGAAUUUUUUAACGAAACAUAAAUUUAAUAUGAAUUUUUAACCAUCAAAAAUAUAAAAAUUCAUAAUAAAUUCAUGUUUUGUUGAAAAAUUCUAAAUUUUUUUAGGAGAGAUACUUAAAAUAUUAUGAAUUUUUCUGCAAACUUUUAUUCAAAAAUGUGAAUUCUACAUAUGAAUUUACUUUAAAAGAGGGACCACAAGUGAAGAUGGAAAAUUUUUGGAGGACUAAAAGUUGAAGGAAAAUUUUAGAGGGACUAAAACGAAAAGUUGGUAUAUUUAUAGGGACCAAAAACAUAUUUAACCUUACUUUUAAUAAUGACAUGGGGGAUCCCUUUCAUUUUUGUUCUAAUAAUAGUAACAAUAAUAUGUUAUAAUAGCAGAAAAAACAAAAACAAAGUAACAUUGCACCACGUUUUGACGGUAGAUUGAAAAUGCAGGUUCAAAGAGAAAUAUUGAGAAAUCACUUGAACCCCCUCACACAAGAGUGGCUUCGCCACUGAUCACAGUGGCUGUGAUUGGUUGUAGGAUAGUGAGAUGAGAUCUUAGAUCUAGAAGUUCUUAGGUUGAAAUCAAUACGGGUAGGUCCUAGGUCUUAAGUGUAAACGAGGAUUUUGCUGAGAGCUUUAGAAUAAGAACUACACUAGUGGAUUACUUUCCUAACUUGGUAGCCCCAGAUGUAGGUGAGUUGUGCCGAACUGAGUUAACAAACUCUUCUUUACUUUCUUGUCUUUUAUUUUGCUGUUUUGUUUAUGUUUACUUCUAGCACGAUGUUGGAACAUUAAACGGAACAUGUGCUUUCUGUGCAUCUCGAGUUGAAACUUCACAUAGAACAACUUCUAACUGACACGCUAAAUAUUCAGCAUCCGUUAUAUUUGCCGGGAAUUUCAAGUUAUGACCAAACAAGUCUUACUCGAAUGAAUAAGGAUCACACCAAUCAGAAAAAUAAUAUAAUAAAGACAAACAACAAUUAAGACAAAAAAAAGACAAACAACAAUAUCUUAAUAAAAUUAGAUGUUGAUAUUAUGCUAUUUGAAGGACGAGUUUGAACUUUAUUUUAGAAAAUGUGGAAGGUCCAGUAAAUAAAUAUAUCAUGAAAGGUGGAUAUAAAAUAUCUCUGUGAGCUUGAUUCUCUUGGUAGUGAUAUUAUAUAUUAUAUGCAGAGUCAUCGAACCUCGGACACCCUGGUCACUUCUCCACAUUUAAAAUGUAUGAGCUCCGGUCACUAUACUAUUUGACAAAAAAAAAUAAUGCUUGAAAAAUUUAUUAGAAUGUUUACCACUUCAGCCCACAUUAAGUUCAAUCUAGUUAACCAAAAAAAUAUAAAUAUUCUUGAAGCAUGUUAAAAUCAUGUGAUACAAAUCAAUUUGAUUAUAUCAAGAUGAUGUUGAGAUAAUUUAUAUUAACACGACUCGCCUAUUAGCAAAAAUAUUUUGGUUUCGAUUUAUACAAUCGUCCAUUUGAGAGAUGGUUCGACUCUCAAGACAAAAAGUAAGAUAGCUUGCAACGAACUUGGUAAGUAGUCAUGUAGCGCUUUCAAAUGCGGGUGGUAUCCAUUGGAGAGCCAAAUACUUUUGUUAUAGUAACAUCACUGCGGAUUUUAUUAGUCAUAUACAUGGAUUUAAUUAUUUAUCUUGUUAUUUUUAAACAUAUAAUAAGAUCAGUUUAUUUAAAUUUAUUUCUUUAUCUCAUUAUUUUCAUUUUUAUUUUACAAGACAUAUUUCACAAUGCACUAAAGCAAAAUCUCAAUAUACUUUUUCACAUUGCAUGCAUUGCAACUAAAUUUUUGCACAUGAUAAAAAAAUAGAGUGAAACUACUUGAUUAGUUAGCUAAAACAAGAGAGCAUCUAUUGAAUGUUUUAUUUUGCAUUUCUUCCCACAUCCUUUUGUGUCCAUUUUGCAUUGCUUCCAAAAAUAAACGGUAAAAUAUGGUAUAAUGACAUAAUUUUAGGAUAAAUGUUUUUUUAUCUAUUGAGCCAAAGAAAAAAGAAAUAUUCUUUGUCCUUUUGAUGCAACACAAAUUAACUAGCAAUGGUACCAAUAUGCACUAUGGUCCCUCUUCUUCAACUCAUGAUUUUAUACCGUUAUGUAUGAAUUUGUACAUUAUUGAUUAGCCUAUCCAGAAAUCUAAUUUGACAAAUUUUAUUGGAUGGAAGACGUAUUUAAUGAUAUUAUCAUUACAUACUUUGGAUAUUUGAUAUAUUUUAUAAUGAAAGAAAAUAAUAUCUUAAAGAUAUGUGGUUUGAGAAAUAAAGGAAAUACUACAAACCAAUAGAAACUUAGAUAUGGAUUUCACAAGAUAUAGACCUUUAGUUUUACUCGAUGAUAACCAAAUAUAAAUAGCCAUAUAACCAAAUUUGAUAACCAUUCUCAACAUUGCCAAUUGAGCUUCAUUACUUUACUUAGUAAGCAAAAAAAUACCACAAUGGCUGCUUCAACAAUGUCCCUCUCUUCUUCAUCAUUUGUCGGGAAGGCAAUCAAACUUUCCCCAUCCACUCAAGACAUUGGGGUGGGAAGAGUCACAAUGAGGAAAACAACCACCAAGAAGUCCGUUCCGUCUGGAAGCCCAUGGUACGGUCCAGACCGUGUGAAGUACUUGGGCCCAUUCUCCGGUGAAGCCCCAUCCUACCUCACAGGUGAAUUCCCUGGUGACUACGGUUGGGACACUGCUGGACUUUCUGCUGACCCAGAGACAUUUGCCAAGAACCGUGAACUCGAGGUCAUCCACAGUAGAUGGGCUAUGUUGGGUGCCUUGGGAUGUGUCUUCCCUGAGCUCUUAUCUCGCAAUGGUGUACAAUUCGGUGAGGCCGUGUGGUUCAAGGCAGGAUCCCAAAUCUUUAGUGAGGGUGGACUUGACUACUUGGGUAACCCAAGUCUAGUCCAUGCACAAAGCAUCCUUGCUAUAUGGGCAGUCCAAGUUAUCUUAAUGGGCGCCGUGGAGGGUUACCGUAUUGCUGGUGGACCUCUAGGCGAGGUAGUCGAUCCACUCUACCCAGGUGGCAGCUUUGACCCCUUGGGCCUUGCCGAAGAUCCCGAGGCUUUUGCAGAGUUGAAGGUGAAAGAACUAAAAAAUGGUAGGUUAGCUAUGUUCUCUAUGUUUGGAUUCUUCGUUCAGGCCAUUGUCACCGGAAAGGGACCUAUUGAGAACCUCGCUGACCACCUUGCUGAUCCAGUUAACAACAAUGCUUGGGCCUAUGCCACAAACUUUGCCCCUGGAAAAUAAGCAAUAACUACACCAAAUGAGAAGUAGUGAAUGACUUGAAUAUCAAACUUUGAAUUUGUUAUUGUGUUAUAUGUUGAAAAACGUAUGGCGCAUUACAUCUUUUUUUCUUCUUCCUAAGUUUGUACAAAUUAUGUGAAUGAAAUGAAUGGUUUUACUAAAACAAGGGAGAGAGCAAUGAAUGUGAACGGUGAUCAUGCAAGCUAUAUAUCAACACUUUGUCAAUUAUAAUGAAUUACCAAACUAUUGUGUAAUUGAUUCUUCAUAAAUUAAUUAAGUGAAUGAAAUGAAUGGUUUCUUUGUUUUUUGUUUCCCUCACGUUGUCUUCUAAAACCACUUAUGAAUUCGAAACUAACAAAAUAAAGUAACAUCAUAUUGUGGGUUCCAUGUUUGGCAAUCACCCAAGAUAUAAAUCUUAAUAAGGUGGAAUUUGCAAUGCACUCCAUAGUUGGUGUUGAUAUAGUGCCAGAGGUGGUUGUACGAUCUAAGCUGAUUUCAUAGUUUAAUUUCUUUUCCUAUAAAAAAAUUGUAAGGAUCACCAGUAACCCAUGAAUGAAUUGAGCAACACUCUUUGGUCACAUACACAAAAAACUUGACCUUCAAUGACAAUAAAGUUUUGUAGGUAAAAGUCCUUAUACCGUAGGUAUAGCCCACAUACCUAAAACUUUACUUUUAAUGACAGUAAAUUUCUUUAGGUUAAAAUCUUUUUACCGUAUGUAUAGUCCCAAGUACCUAUACCCACAUAUUUUUAAGUUAAAAUUAAGCUCUAUUCCUAUAUCUAAAAUCCUAGGUAAAACAAAAGGUUUUGUUUAACAAGUAAAAUCUGUCACUUUUAGACUAUAGCGACGACCAAAAAUAUGUGGGUUUAAGUACUUGCGGUUAUACCUACGAUAAAAGGACAAUUAACUACGAAAAUUACCGUUACUAAAAUUACUAUCACUUUAGACUUAGUUUAUUUUCUUUUUUCUUUUUUCCCUUAUGUGUGCCCAAAUACAAAUGAUCAGGAUUUCGACCAAACAAGUUUUACUCGAAUGGUUAAGGAUCACCAAUCUUCGAACACAAAAUAUAAUAAUAAAGUCAAACAACAAUAUUUUGAUAUGCUAUUUGAAGGGCGAGUUUGAAUUUUAUGUUAGAAAAUGUGAAAGGUCCAUUAAAAAUGGAAAUCAUGGAAGGUAUCUAUAAAUAAAUGCUUGAAAAAUCUAUUAGAAUGUUCACCGGUUCAACCCAAAUAACUUUUAAUCUAUUUAACAAAAUAAAAUAUAAAUAUUCUUAAAGCGAGUUAAAAUUAGGUGAUACAAAUCUAUUUUAAAAUGUCAAGAUGAUGUUGAGUGAAUUAAUAUUAACUGACUCGCUGACUCGCUUUAAGAAUAUCUCGGUUUUGAUUUAUAAAAUCAUCCAUAUAAGGGAUAGUUCAACUCUUUAGACAAAAAAUAAGAUAGCUUGCAACGAACUUGGUAAUUAGUCUCAUAGCGCAUCCAAAUGUCGUAACUCAUAAGGUCACCAAGAUACAUGCAAAGUUCAUUGGAGAGCCAAAUACUUUUGUGAUAGUGAAUUGGCAAAAAAUUCAAGUCUAAUGUAUCAGUAUAUACUUAUUUUUAAAUCUCAAGAUAAUUUUUCACAUUGCAAAACAAAGAGCGUGGAUUAGAUGGUUAUAGCUUCCAACAUCCUUGUGUGUCUAUUUUGCAUUGCUUCCAAACAUAAACUGUAGAAUAUGGUAUAAUGACAUUUAGUAAAAAAAAUGGUAUAAUGACAUAAAAUUAGGAUAAAUGUGUUUUUAUCCAUGGAGCCAAAAAAGAAAUAUUCUUUGUCCAUUUGAUGCAACACACACCACAAAUUAACUAGCAAUGGGACCAAUAUGUAAUGUGGUCCCUCUUCUACAACAUAUAAUUAUAUACCGUUAUAUGCAUGAAUUUGUACGUUAUUGAUCAUCCUAUCCAGAAAUUACAAUUGGCAAACUCUUAUUGGAUGAAAAAGAUAUUUAAUGAUAUUAUUAUAUAUUAUUGUGGAUAUUUGAUAUGUUUGGGAAAGGAAGAAAAUAAUUUUUAAAGUGAUAUGUGGUUUGAGAAGCAACUGUAAUGCUCAAAACCAAUAGAAAGUUAGAUACAUAGAUUUCAUAAGAUAUGGACAUUUAAUUUAUCUUGUUGAAAACAACAUAUAAAUAACACCAUACCAUAACACAUUCAAUAUAGCCAUCAUCAACAUUGCCAAUAAAGAUAUUUAUUUGUUUACUUAGUAAACACUAAAAUUCUACCAUGGCUGCUUCAACAAUGUCUCUCUCUUCUUCAUCAUUGGUUGGGAAGGCAAUCAAGCUUUCCCCCUCUACUCCAGACCUUGUCAUGGGAAGAAUUACCAUGAGGAAAACAACCACCAAGAAGAAUGUUCCUUCUGGAAGCCCAUGGUACGGUCCAGACCGUGUCAAGUACUUGGGUCCAUUCUCUGGUGAAGCUCCAUCUUACCUUACUGGUGAAUUUCCCGGUGACUAUGGAUGGGACACUGCUGGACUUUCUGCUGAUCCGGAGACCUUCUCUAAAAACCGUGAACUAGAGGUCAUUCACAGUAGGUGGGCUAUGUUGGGAGCCUUGGGAUGUGUCUUCCCUGAGCUCUUGGCUCGCAAUGGUGUUAAAUUCGGUGAGGCCGUGUGGUUCAAGGCAGGAUCUCAAAUCUUUAGUGAGGGUGGACUUGACUACUUGGGAAAUCCAAGUCUAGUCCAUGCACAAAGCAUCCUUGCUAUAUGGGCUGUCCAAGUUAUCUUAAUGGGUGCUGUUGAGGGUUAUCGUAUUGCAGGUGGACCUCUCGGUGAGGUUGUCGACCCACUCUACCCAGGUGGUAGUUUUGACCCAUUAGGCCUAGCUGAUGACCCAGAGGCUUUUGCAGAGUUAAAGGUGAAAGAACUCAAAAAUGGAAGGUUAGCUAUGUUUUCCAUGUUUGGAUUCUUUGUUCAAGCUAUUGUAACCGGAAAAGGACCUAUAGAGAAUCUUGCUGACCACCUUGCUGACCCAGUUAACAACAAUGCAUGGGCCUAUGCCACAAACUUUGCCCCUGGAAAGUGAGCCAAAACUACACCAUACCAAUGAGAAGUGAUUUCUGAAGCAAACAAUGAGAAUUCAUAUGCUUUGAGAAACAUAUGGUGCAUUUAGAUUUUUUUAAUUCUUUCAAGUUUGUACUUUUUAAGAGAGUGAAAUGAAUGUGAUUAUGUGAAUGAUGAUCAUGCAUAUUAUCAACACUGUAGCAGACCUAAUGAAAUGCCAAAGUAUUGUGCAGUUGAUUCUUCCAAAAUUCUAAGUCACUUGUGAUUGCAUCUAUUAUUGUCUGCAUUAUUGAUAAGUAUAAGAAAUCAAUUGUAAUUUUUCAAUCAAAUAAUAGGUGUAUCAAUGUAAAUAUAAAAUAAAAAAAUGUCUAAUUUAGUUUUAGUUUUUGUGUGUGUAGAAUAUAGAGACAGUAAGUGAUUUUAAAAAUGCUAUAACUUUUGCUAAAAACACUGCCAUUCAAUAUAAAAUCUAGAUUUCUUUAAAAAUGAAACAUUUCAAUAUUUUUUUUUUUUACCAUGUUAUAAGUACGAAAGUGAUUAAUCUCUAAAGGUUGUCAAAAUCGGGACUUUACUUCAGGUCGAAAAGGGAAUAGCAAAAUCAGGACUCGUAAAAUCGCAAUCAAAAUCGUAGGAAUUUACUCAACUACUCUUGUAGAAUAGAUAUAAGAAAUUGUAAAAUCGCAAUCAAAAUCGAUGAGUUUUACCAAAACAAAAAUAAUGCUAAAAACAUAGACCAAAACAUAAAUGACUCAGAUUAAAGUCCACAAAAUACUUAAACAUAAAUGACUAAAAAAAUGGAAAAAAUUCUUCAAAACCCUUUAACAUCAUGCAAUUUUGUUUGAAAUCUUAAAAUCGCGAUGGAUUUGAGUCGUUGAAGGUGAAGAAAGUCGCGAAAUUCUGGAUUUUAGAAUUUAAGUCGGAAUUUUGAAAACACCAAAAAUACAUAAGAUAUGUUCUCUCUUUUCAUCCGAAUUUUCUCUAUCGAACUUGUGAGCACUUGUUUAAAGAGUCCAAAAUUCUUACAAUUUGAAUCAAUCCACUACUAGUAAUAUUUGUUUCUUAUACAUAUCAACCAAUUACUUCAUUUUAAGAGAACUUGGUUUACAAUGUGGGAAGGAAUUUCCUAGACACAACAAAUCAUGAGUACAAAGCUUCCCAAUUCUUCUUGAAUAAGUUUUUUGAGCGGUGGAAAACUUAUGUUAAAGACUUGAUAUUUUUCAAAUGCAUGCAUGUUUUGCUCAUAUAAUAAUGUUACAAUUUUCAUAGUUGUUGUAUAUAUAAAGUAGUUUUUCAAAACUUAAAUUUAUAAAAUUUAAUAAAGAUCAACAUUGUGUCAAUAAAAAUUAAAUAUCAAUUACUUUAAAACUAGUCUUGGAAUUAUUUUAGGUCUCAAUUGAUAUUUAGGUUGGCCCUGGCAUCUCUAUUAACCGAUGAUGUGAAUAAUUAAUUGCAUAAUGUGGCCGUGAUUGAAUUCUCUCAAGUGUGAAUUUGAGUAAAGUGUGAUCUCUAAUCAUCCAUAUUUCUAAUAUCUUAAUUUUUCAUGUGUUUCUCUCUAACAAGAUAUCAUACUUGACAUCUUUUGUGAAAAUCACCUAGGAGAGGAUCCAUUUUCAAUGUGACAUUGCAGCUUAAAAAUGUCUGAAAUUAGUUAUGUCUACCACUCAAGAUAUAUAUUCUGUUAUAGUUGAGUCAGUUUAGAACGAGCCGGAUUGGUCAGUUCAAUUGGUUGAACCGAAAACUAAAUUGAAUCGUGCUUCGAUUGCAGUUGGCUCAACCAGUUCAACUGAUCGAUUGAACCAAUUUAACCAUGACUUGAGAGAAUCACAUGGUUGACUUUCAUUUCGGUUUUUAAAUUAUUGAGUUGAAUUUUGGCUGCUGUUAACUAGUAACUCCAUUUAUUUAUUUUUUUACUUAGUUAUAAUAAAAAAAAAAAAUAACUCAGGCAUUACAUAAAAUUUAAAUUAAGUUUUCACAAGACAGUUUAGCAAAGCAAAAUUAUUAGAUAUCCUUAUCAGUAGAAAGUACAAUAGCUAACUACGUACGGACAUGUGUAUUUUGCAGUGAUUACAAUAAAUACAUAAGUAGAAUAAAUUUGUUUUGUUCAUUUGAUGCAAACAGAAGAAACUAUUAAUGGGACCAGUGCACUGUGUGGUCCCUUUUCUGUAAAUCUAUUGAUUAUUAUCCCAUCAAGUAAUCAUAAAUGACAAUUUCUUAUUGGAUGGAACAAGUUUUUCAUGAUAUUCAAUUGUCAUAUUCUGGAUAUUUGAUAUUUUUUGAAAUAAUAAUUCUGAAGAGAAAUAUAUGUGGUUUGAGAUGUAAGUGUAAUGCUCCAAACCAAUAGAAAAUCAAGAUAUAGAUUUCAUAAGAUAUGGACCUCUAGUUUUUCUUGAUGAAUUAACAUAUAAAUAGUACCACUAGGACAUAACAAAGCAUCAUCAAUAACCAUCCUCUUCAUUUUCAAUAGAGCUAUUUAUUUGCAUUUAACUAAGUUGCAAAUAAAAUACUAGAAUGGCUACAUCAACAAUGGCUCUCUCUUCUUCAACAAUGGUUGGGAAGGCAAUCAAGCUUUCCCCUUCCACUCCAGACCUUGUGAUGGGAAGAAUCACCAUGAGGAAAACAACCAACAAGAAGAACGUCCCUUCUGGAAGCCCGUGGUACGGUCCAGAUCGUGUCAAAUACUUGGGUCCAUUCUCUGGUGAAGCUCCAUCUUAUCUCACUGGUGAAUUUCCUGGUGACUAUGGUUGGGACACUGCUGGGCUUUCUGCUGACCCAGAGACAUUUGCCAAGAACCGUGAACUCGAGGUCAUCCACAGUAGAUGGGCUAUGUUAGGAGCUUUGGGAUGUGUCUUCCCCGAGCUCUUGUCUCGCAAUGGUGUGAAAUUCGGCGAGGCUGUGUGGUUCAAGGCAGGAUCUCAAAUCUUUAGUGAGGGAGGACUUGACUACUUGGGUAACCCAAGCCUAGUCCACGCACAAAGUAUCCUUGCUAUAUGGGCUGUCCAAGUUAUCUUAAUGGGAGCUGUUGAGGGUUACCGUAUUGCCGGUGGACCUCUUGGUGAGGUAGUCGACCCACUCUACCCAGGUGGAAGCUUUGACCCAUUGGGCCUCGCUGACGACCCAGAGGCUUUUGCAGAGUUAAAGGUGAAAGAACUUAAGAAUGGUAGGCUAGCUAUGUUCUCUAUGUUUGGAUUCUUCGUUCAGGCCAUUGUAACCGGAAAGGGACCUCUAGAGAACCUUGCCGACCAUAUCACUGACCCCGUCAACAACAACGCUUGGGCCUUUGCCACAAACUUUGUCCCCGGAAAGUGAGCAAAAACUUCAUAAAAACUAUGUUAAGUUACUAGCUCAUACAAGAGUGCGAAUUUCGUGUUAUUAAUUUAGUGAAAUAUUCGGUGCAUUUAGAUCUUUCUUCAAGUUUGUGCCAAUUUAGCGACUGAAAUACAUAUUACAAUGUGCCAAUGCAAUGAAUGUUAAUGAUGAUCAUGCAAGAAAUGUAAAUUAUUCUUCCAAAAUAUUCUUUACUAUCAUAUCACCAGUAAUACAUCGCUUUCUCAAUCACUUUUUCUAUAUAUUUUUUUUUUACUGUUGUCCUCUGCAGGAAAUUAAGACUAUAAGAAAAUGUCUUAAUUAAGGGUUUCUUUUAGGGCCUUCCAAUAAACACAGCAUAAUGCAUUGGUCACUUUGAAUCUUAAAUGAUAGAUUUACAUAAUUUAAGUAAGGUUGGUGGUGCCUAAGAUCAUGUUUAUUACUUCUUCUACUAUAAAGGGUAAUGCUCCACAAUGUGAAAAUUUUAUGAUGUUAGCUUUGAUAAUUCAGAAGUUCUGGUGGAGCAGUACUUUAGUAUCAAUUAUUUUCUCAUUAUUGUUUGCGUCAGUUUGAUAGUUUCCAUUGCAAAGAUUUGAUAUGAAGAACAAGAUGAAUUAUUGUUUUUUGAGAGUAGCAUAUGAACAAAGAAACAUAUACUUAGAAAAGUUAAAUAGAAGAAAGGGAUUAAUAUUAGUAAACAAAAUACACCUCAAAAAAAAUAUUCAUCCGUUAUUCAAAAUAAACACAGGAAAAACAGAAGAUAGAAUUUCUUUUUUUUUCUAUUUUUUACUAUUCAUAAUAGGAGAUGAAACUUGGAGUCACCUCCUAUUAUGAGACGAAUAAAACCAUGUCUGCCAGUCAUGUGCAUUCCCGUGUAUAUUCCCCACAUUUCAACAUGGAUGACAUCAUGUUGUGAAUUCGUUGAGAAAACCACACCAAUAAAAACUUGAUGCGUGGAGCAAAUUAAUACCAAGUAAUCAAAUCAAGCGGGUAGCAAAUAAUCCAAACAAAAGUAAACAGCAAGAGAUAAAAGGAAGAAGAAGAAGAAGAACACAAGAAUUUGUUUACCCAGUUCGGUCUAAUGAUGACCUAGUCUGGGGAGAGAGCAGCUCUCCGUUCCACUAUAAUGAUAUGAGUUUCUUUACAAAGAGAUAUUGAGUUACAAGAAUCAGUCUUCAAACCUAAUUCUACCCAAGUCUCAGCCUACCUAAUUCUACCAAGUCCCAGCCUCUUCCCGUGACCAAGAGACUCAAUCCUAAUAGUGUUUUGUUCAAGGUGAAUCAAAACAAUCCCAACCCUAGUGUUGUUGCAAAGAGAAAUUCUCUAUAAACCCUAGUUUGUAUGUUGGUUUUUAAACCCUGUUUUUCUACACACUUUAUCAUCUGAUACAAGUGAAUUUAUUUUUCUUAAAGUGAAUUUAUUUAGUGAAUUUAAAGUGAAUUUGUUUAAGUAAAUUCACAAGAACUCAAAUCUUUAGUGAUGGAGGGCUUGACUACUUGGGUAACCCAAGCCUAGUCCACGCACAAAGCAUCCUUGCUAUUUGGGUUGUCCUAGCUAUCUUAAUGGGAGCUGUUGAGGGUUACCGUAUUGCCGAUGGACCUCUUGGUGAGGUAGUCGAUCCACUCUACCCCGGUGGAAGCUUUGACCCAUUGGGCCUCGCAGACGACCCAGAGGCUUUUGCAGAGUUAAAGGUUAAAGAACUCAAGAAUGGCAGGUUAGCUAUGUUCUCGAUGUUUGGAUUUUUCGUUCAGGCCAUUGUAACCGAAAAGGGACCACUAGAGAACCUUGCUGACCACAUCGCUGAUCCAGUCAACAGCAACGCUUGGGCCUUUGCCACAAACUUUGUUCCCGGAAAGUGAGAAAAAAAACUACGCCAAAACUAUGUUUAGUGACUGACUUGCACAUCAGUGUGAAUUUCUUAUUUGUUAAUUAAUUUAGUGAAAUAUUUUGUGCAUUUUGAAGAAAUAUUAUACUGUGCCAAUGUAAUGAAUUUGAAUGAUGAUGAUCAUGCAAGCUAUCAGCAUUCAGCAAUAUACCAAAUCUACUAAAACACAAAACUACUGUAAUGGUUUAUUUAGAAACUCUUGUAGCAUGUGAUUUGUAAUUACAUAUUUUUCUGAACCAUUUGUUCAAAAACAAAAUUCUUCCAAAUGGUGGAGUCCUCUGCGGUCAAUUGAGACCAUAAGAAACUGUUUGUCUUAAUUAAGGCUAAUCAAAGAAACAACUAAAUUAACAUUAUAAUAAAAGUUUAAACCUUUUAUAACUUGAACUUGAUGAAAUUUGAGCAUAGUUUAAACUAUUGGACCGUGGAUAGGUUAUUUUUCUAUAAAUCUUUGCAAGAGUUUGAAAAGGAAUGCAGCAAGUUCUUUUGACUGCUAUGAACCUAAAAUAUGGCAUGAGGAACAAUAUCAUGAUUUACUUUAUAACCAAUAAACUUGCAAGAGAAAAAAAAUACUAACCAAUAAACACUAUGCAUAAUCCAAAAGUCACUUGGAUUCUAAAAUGAGAAAUUUACAUAAAUGUUUGCUUACUUAUGUUGCAUAAGAAUGGUUUAUAGGAAAAUAUAGCCAUAUGUGCUAGUGUAUGUCGAACAUCGACUCAUAUCAAAUACUCAGACACGAUUCAAUCUGAAGUGUCGGUAUUACAUAGAUCAAACUAUCUAAGGAUCUAUCCUCCACAAACUCCAAGCAAUCUCCUCUUAACAGUUUAUUUACUUUACCAUGGUUUCCCAAAGUCUCAAGAUCCAUAGUGGCUCUAAAAUCUAUGUUUGAAAAAUAUUCAUUUUCUAUUGAACUGAUUAUAGAAUCUAAUUCAAGUUUAAACAAAUGAAAUCAUUUUUAGAAAACAAAUGGCCGUGCUUGUUCUUGUUUUAAAAAAAAGAUUUUUAUUGUAUUUCUUUUUUUUUUUUGUUAUCAAUUUUUUAAAAUUUUUUUUUAAUAAAAACUUCAAAUGAAAAAUUGGUUUUGAUAGCUUCUCAUAAAAUGUCAUUUCAAGUAUUUCAUCAUUUUGUUAAGAUUUCUUUUGAGUAAUAAAAUAAAAUAAAAAAACUUAAAAUGAGGAACUAUUUUGAAUAGUUUCUCAUAAAAAAAAAACAUUUUCAAGAGAUAUCUUUUGAAAAAAAUGUUAUUUUUAUUAUGUCAAAAUUAUUCUUUUAAUUUAUAACUAGGCUUAAUAGCAGUUUUCGUCCCUUAACUUUCACGAAGUUGCGAUUUUGGCCCCGUAAAAAAAAAACUACAAAACCGCCCCCUAAGUUUUGCAACUGUAGCACUUUUGGCCCCCAAGUGGUUGGAUGACAAAGGAAAAACUAGCUUGCCCAAUUUGCAUGAAGCAACACUCUAAGGUAUUUACCCAAGAUACUAAAAAGACCUCGUGGUUUGAUUGUAGUAGACAAUUCUUACCACAAAAUCAUUCAUUUAGAAGGAAUAAGACUGCAUUUACAAAAGAUAAAGUUGAGACGUCAAUUCCUCCGCGAAGGCUGAGUGGUGAAGAAGUUUGGGAAAGUGUUAGAAAUAUAUAUACCAAGUGCGGAGGAAUCCCAAGAAUGUAAACCACCAGGCUAUGGAGAAAAGCAUCAUUGGACAAAACGGAAUAUAUUUUGGGAACUUCCAUAUUGGAAAACUCAUCUUCUCCCACAUAAUCUUGAUGUAAUGCACAUCGAGAGAAAUGUGUUUCUUAAUAUUUUGUUCACAGUAAUGGAUACCAAAGGCAAGACAAAAGAUACUUACAAAUCUAGGAAGGACUUAGAAGCACAUUGUAAGCGUAAGGGCUUAGAGCUUAAACCUGGUAGGAAUGGUAACUUUGUAAAACCAAAGGCACAAUAUACAUUAACCAAACAACAAAGAACAGUUGUAUGUGAAUGGGUUACAAACCUUAAGCUUCCAGAUGGUUAUGUUUCGAAUUUGAGUAGAUGUGUUGACUUCAAGGAAGCAAAGUUGUCUGGCAUGAAGAGUCAUGACUGCCAUGUAUUCAUGCAGCGUUUGAUACCAUUAGCAUUUAAAGCCUUACCCAAACCUAUUUUGAAUACACUUAUCGAAUUCAGCCAAUUCUUUAGAGAAAUCACAUCAUUAGUGUUGAGUGAAGAUAAAUUGCGUAGUUUGGAGGAAAACAUCGCAAUCAUUAUGUGCAAAUUAGAACAAAUAUUUCCUCCAAGCUUUUUUGACUCAAUGGAACAUCUUCCUAUUCAUUUAGCUUAUGAAGCAAGAGUUGGUGGUCCCGUGCAGUAUAGAUGGAUGUAUCCAUUUGAAAGGUUAAUUCUUCAACCUGAUAUACUCUCUUGGUUAGUUGUUUUUAGCUAUUUCUUCAUUUAUCUAAGCUUAAUCUUAAUUUGGUCUAUACGUUCAUACGAACUUUAAAACAAAAGGUAACAAAUCAAGCUUAUGUGGAAGGUUCGAUUGCCAAAGAAUAUUCACUAGAGGAGAUGUCUACAUUAGGUUCCUAUUAUCAUCCCGCUGAUAUUCCAUCGAGGAGAACAAGAAUGCCGCGGAACGAUGAUGGAGGAGAAGAUUUUUCAGUGAAUCCUCCAGUGUCAAUCUUUAACUAUCCAGGUCGUCCUUUUGGAAAACGUACUAAUUUUAAUUUGACUGAUAGGGAAAUGAAAGCUGCACACCUUUAUGUGCUUUUAAAUUGUCUUGAGGUGGUGCCUUACCUGGAAGUAAGUAUUCCAAAGUUGAAAUUUGCACACAUGUAUUAAUUGUUUAUGAAGUCAAAUUUAAUGGAUAUUUUACAUGUGUAGCAUGUACUCUGAUUUGUUAGGAGAACUAGACCCCGAGUUGAGUGAACUAGAUUUGGACAAACAAAUUUCCGCAACAUUUCCAACUUGGUUCAAAACACAUGUACGUGAAUCUCCAUAGUUUAAAAUUAUAGUACCCAAUUUAUUAGGUUGAAUUUACACUAUUUUGCCUAAUGUAGGUGCUUGAUUCAAGGAAUGAGAUAAACGAUGUGUUGUUAACAAGUUUGGCAUGGGGCCCUCUUAGAAAUGUUAUCAAGUGGCAUAGUUAUGUUAUUAAUGGCUACAAGUUUGUAACAAAAUCUCGAAAUGAAGGGAUGAGUACAACCAAUUGCAAUGUAUGUGUUCGGGGAGGGCAAUUAGAUUCAUUAGAAAAUGAUUACUAUGGUGUUUUGACUGACAUUGUCGAAUUAGAGUACACCGGUCACCCUACAAAGAAGGUGGUUUUAUUUCAAUGUGAUUGGUUUGAUCCGAGCUCUCAAGGGACCAAGACGGAUAACUAUGGCAAUGUUAAAAUAAUAAAAAUCUAGGAAAUAUCAAAAUUAUGAUCCUUUUAUAUUAGCCCAACAAGCGGAUCAAGUUUACUUUACAUCAUUUCCUGAAGGGCAACAAGGUUGGCUAGGUGUCAUAAAAACCAAGGACCGCAGUAACAUUCCAACUGUGGAAAAAAAAAAAACAGCAAACAACAGAUGCAUAUCAAGAUGAUGAUGUUAAUACACUACCAAUAGUUGUUUCAAAUGAUGAUUUUCAGCAAUGUCUUGUUGACAUUAAUGGUGUAGCUGAAGAAGUGCCAAACUCUUUGUUGAAGAGAAGUGCCAAACCCAUUGUUGAGGAUGAGGAGGAGGAGGAGGAAGAUGAAUAUGAAGGGGAGGGGGAGGAAGAUGAAGAUAUGUAUGAAGAUAUAGAUUCAAACUAAGUCAUUGAGCCAAAUUAAGGUGAUCCAAGCAAGUGGGUUUCCUCAAAAUCAAAAGAUAUUGCUGUAAGUUAUUACAUCAUGACCUUAUUGAACUUGAUGAAUAUUUAGUCUAUUUUUAAAGUAGUUGAACUAUGAUAUGGAGGUUCAGCAUUGAUGCUAAUUGUUAGAACUAAUGCUAUUUUUAAUUGUUUUAAUAGUUCUGCACUAAAAUAAUUGUUCACUGAUGCUAUUUUUAUGGAGGUUAUAUACUGAUGCUAAUUGUUAAGCACAUAUUAAGAAAUAAUAUAAACGUACCUAUGACUUAGACUUAGCACUACCAUUUCAAUUCUCUUUUUUUCCUCCAUACAAAUCCUAACUCCACUUGAUUUUUUUUUUUUUUGACAUAAAUAACUCCAUAUGAAACUAUGUCCAUAUUUUAGAAACAGAUUGAAAAAAAUAAUGAAUUGUCUUGACAGGAAGAUAUAUCAGAAUGUUAGUUUGUUUGAUGCUUCUGGGAAACUGAUAUAGGCAAGCAGUGAACACAGUAUAAUUUUUUAGGACAACAUACCGGCUAAAAAUCAACAAUGUUUUUAGAUAAGGUUUUAGGCCAACAUUUCAUAUAGUUAUCAGGUGACAAAGUACUCUGUUUAAGAUUAGGGAAGAAUAGUUGUCAAAAUAUUUCAUAUACUUCGAAUUAUUCAUGUAUUGAAGUUUUUUUUAAAAAAAAGUUGUUUCUGUUUACUAAAUGAAGUAUGAAAUUAUUACUUGUUAGUAAAAUAUAAUUAUUUUGCAGGAUGAGUUUGAAAAAAGGAUUAUUGAGAGGGAUUCACAUGAGAAGGCACUAGGGGACGAUGUUUCUAGACAUGAAAGUGACAACAUUAUCUUGAUAGCUUGGUUGCAAACUUAGUUAAUGUGCUACUUCUAGUACCGUUUUGAUAGCUUGGUUGCAAACUUAUUUUGAGAGUUUUCUUGUGACUCUAUGUAUUUUGAGAGUUGAACAAUGGUUGUAAACUUAUUGAGAGUUUCCUUAUGACUUUUAUGGUGAUGAAUGUAUGUGAUGAGUAUGAAGACAAUUUUUUAUUGUAUAUUUAUAAUUUCCAUCAAGUUCAAUAUGGUUUAAUAUAGUAAAUGCAUUUACAAUCUUAAUAUAAUUAAUUAAUGAAAUCUGAUUUGAAAUUGAAUAUUAAUCUUUUGUUUGAAUUAGUGAGGGAAAUAAAUUUAUCACUAAACCAAAGAUUGUAGUUUGUGAGGGAAUUAAGUUUCAUCACAAUUUAUGCCUUCAAAAUUUGAAAGGGAAAACCAAUCCGUCAUUAAUUAGUGACGGAAAUAAUGGUAAAACAUGAUGGAAUACUCCCUCACUAUUAGAAAGGGAACAAGAAUCCCUCACUAAUUACUGACAGAUUUGUAGUGAGGGAUUGUAUCCGUGUCAAUAUUCUUAAGGGAUUACCCGUCGUCACUAAAUUAGUUUGUGAGGGAAUUAUGGUAGUUUAGUGACGGAUUUCUACCCUCUCUAAAAUUGAUUUUUCUAGUAGUGAGCUAUCACUUUCUUACUCACUUCAGAUGGAGCAGUGUUAGAGAAAUUGAAACCUUACUUGGAAAAUGGCAAACUGAAACCAAUAUUGGACCCUAAGAGUCCCUUUCCAUUUUCUCAGACUGUGGAAGCAUUUUCCUAUCUCAAUACAAAUAGGGUUGUUGGGAAAAUAGUUAUACAUCCCAUUCCAUGAGCAUGGCUAAUUAGGCACAUCAAUUCCAUGUGUAUUUGUGUGUUUAUGUAUGAAUAAAUCUCUAAGAUAUGUUUGUUAUUUUAUAUCUAUAUAUUUUUUCUUUUGAAAACUCGGUAUCUCACCUAAGGACCGACUAAUCCAAAGGAAAAAAAAUGAAAUCACAUGCAUGUGUAUUGUUCAAGUUAGACUUAUACCAAAAUAAGCAUGUCACAAAGGAAUAGUUCAUGGAAAGGUUAUAAAAGUAAAAGCUCAAUGACCUACAUGAUGAUAUCAUGGAAAUAGGGUUGGUUUUUAGUCACAAUAACAUGCUUUAUUCAAUAGUAACCGUUAAUAUUUUUGGAUUUUAUGUAUGGCAAUAUAUUGAGAAAAUUGUAGUAGAAUUGGUGCCUUUUUUCUCUGUUUCUGGAUAAUAUAUAUAUAACUUUAUCUUAUGAUGACUUCAAUCUGUAGAGACCAAUCAAGAAUAACCAAAUUUAUGUUCAUUUUUUUGGAGAACUGAAAGGCUAGUGUUUCCUGAUUUCGUUUUUUAGGAGAUUAUAUAACAAGCAAAUUUAUGUUCAUUUCAACUUUUCCCAUUUUCUAACUUAUAUUCAAUCAAAUGUUCAUUGGAAAUGGUUUUGAAUGGAAUUUAGUAGUUACUUUGAUUAGCCUUACUUUCAGUGUCAUUACAAAUGAAAUGAUUCAGAAAAUACUAAUAAAAAAGAACAAGUGAUUCAGAAAAUAAAAAUGUAAUUAAAAGUUACAUGCUAAUAGAGAUUUAGGAAGAAUAACUUAGAAUACUUUCAUGUAUCAUUAGAUUUGGUAAAGGGAUGAUAGCUUGCAUAAACACCAUAUCAUCAUUCACAAGCAUUUAAUUUGCAGAAUAUAAUAUUUAUUUCACUCUCUUAAUUUGUACAAAACUUGAACAACGAUCCAAAUGCACCAAAUAUUUCACUAAAUUAAUUAACAAUAAGAAACAAGCACUCUGAUAGACCAGCUAGUAACUUUAGAUAGUUAUUGUAUAGUCAUUGUUCACUUUCCGGGGACAAAGUUUGUGGCGAAGGCCCAAGCGUUGUUGUUAACUGGGUCAGCGAUGUGGUCAGCAAGGUUUUUUAAAGGUCCCUUUCCGGUCACGAUGGCUUGAACAAAGAAUCCAAACAUAGAGAACAUCGCUAACCUACCAUUCUUGAGUUCUUUAACCUUUAACUCUGCAAAAGCCUCGGGGUCCUCAGCAAGGCCCAAUGGGUCAAAGCUUCCACCUGGAUAGAGUGGGUCGACUACCUCACCAAGAGGUCCACCGGCAAUACGGUAACCUUCAACAGCUCCCAUUAAGAUAACUUGGACAGCCCAAAUAGCAAGGAUGCUUUGUGCAUGGACUAGGCUUGGGUUACCCAAGUAGUCAAGUCCACCCUCACUAAAGAUUUGAGAUCCUGCCUUAAACCACACAGCCUCACCGAAUUUCACACCAUUGCGAGCCAAGAGUUCUGGGAAGACACAUCCUAAGGCACCCAACAUAGCCCAUCUACUAUGAAUGACCUCGAGUUCACGGUUUUUGGCAAAUGUCUCUGGGUCGGCAGAAAGCCCAGCAGUAUCCCAACCAUAAUCACCAGGAAAUUCUCCCGUGAGGUAAGAUGGAGCUUCACCAGAGAAUGGACCCAAGUACUUGACACGGUCUGGACCGUACCACUGGCUUCCAGAAGGAGCAGUCUUCUUGGUGGUUGUUUUCCUCAUGGUGAUUCUUCCCAUCACAAGGUCUGGAGUCGAAGGGGAAAGCUUGAUUGCCUUUCCAACCAUUGAUGAAGAUGAGAGAGCCAUUGUUGAAGCAGCCAUUGUAGUAUUUUUUGGUAACUAAGUUAAACAAACGAGUAGUUCUAUUGAAAAUGAAGAGGAGGAUUAUUUAUUUUUGAUAAGGUAAGAGGAUGAUUGUUGAUGAUGCAUGGUGGAUACUAUUUAUAUGUGAUUCCAACAAGGAAAACUAGAGGUCCUUAUCUUACAAAAUCUAUAUCUUGAUUUUCAAUUGGUUUCGAGCAUUGCACUUGCAUCUCAAGCCACACAUAUAUCAUUUUAGAAUUAUAAAAAAAAAAUCUUUCAGAAAUAUAUCAGAUAUCCACAAUAUGACAAUUGAUUAUCAUGAAAACCUUGUUUCAUCCAAUAAGAAGUUGUCAUUUAUGAUUUCUUGAUGUGAUAAUCAAAAGAUGUAUAACAAUAUAUAAACGUUAAGUAUUGCAGAAGAGGGACCACAUUGACGGUACUCCAUCCGUUGUCAAUUAUAAACAAAUUUUAAAUUUUUAGAUUCAUUUAAUUAAUGAUGUAGUCUGUAAUAUAGAUCAUAUAUAUUAUUAAUUGAAUGAACCUAAAAAUUUAAAAUUUAUUUAUAAUUGACAACGGAGGUUGGUCUCAUUGUUAGUUUCUUAUGUGUGUUGCAUCAAAUAAACAAAUUAUCUUUAGUUUAAUUAUAGGCUUAAAUAGGUCUUUCGUCCUGCAAAUAUAGGUCAUUUGAAUUUUCGUCUCUAAAGUUGCUAAUCCUUCAAAUCUGCCACUGCAAAAUUUAAUCAUUUGACUUCUGGUCUUAAUUAGGUUUUUUCGCUAAGGUGGACUGUCAUUAGCGACGUGGUGCCCAUGUGGUAAGUGAUGAUUAGGCGAGGUGGUUGGCUUAAAUAGGUCUUUCGUCCCUACAAAUAUAGGUCAUUUGAAUUUUCGUCCCUAAAGUUACUAAUCAGAUGUAAUUAUGACCAUUUUUUAAAUGAUUAAUAUUUGCAAUGGCAAAAUGGAAGGAAUAGUAAUUUGGACGAAAAUUCAAAUAGUCUAUAUUUGCAGGGACGAAAGACCUGUUUAAGCGUUAAUUAUAAUAUAUUAUCAUACCAUGAGUUUGUAACCAAUGAUAAAUUUACAUAACAUCAUGCUUGUUUUGUUGCAUAAGAGUAGUUCAUAGGAAAAUAAUUUAGUGAAGUUGGUACGGUAUACCGUAUACCAUAAAGGCAAAAUCACUCUAGGUUGGUUAUGAAAUUUGCUUGUUGAAUAAUCUUUUAGUUAUUAUGAUCAUUUGAUAGAAUAAAAAUUAGAAAAUGGAUCCUUAUAGUAGAAAUUGCAUUCAUAUAGUUGUGUAAUGAACAAGCUUGUUCAUUCCCAUUUAUGUAGUUGCAAAAACAGAAUAUAAAACAUAGCGGUUUAUGCAAACUCUAGAUUUGUUCAAUGAAUUUUCAAGAAAAGAUUUGACUUUCAAAUUGUAAAGACCAGUUAGUAUAUAUAUUUGAGUUCAUAUGUCUUUACCCCUGUAAUUUGGUUGAGUUUCAGUUUACCCCCUCUAAAAAAAAGUUUAGAUUUCGACCCUAUAAUAUCAAGAUUCUCCUCAAAACAUCCCUGUAAUAUAAAGAUUCUCCACAAAACACCUCUGACCUCAUCCAGACGCUGACGUGGCACGCCACUGUGUAAUUAUUUUAAUUUUAUUUUUUUUAAAACCUGACACGUGUGUAAUGGACAUUGACGUGGCACGCCGCUGUGUAAUUAUUAUAAAUUUUUAAAUAAAUUUGUAUCCAGAUUUUUAAAAAUAAAAAUAUUUUCGAGAUUUUUUUUUUUUGAGAAAAUUUUAAAAACUUCUUUUCGAAAAAUAUAUAUUUUCAAAAAUAAUUUGAAUUUUUUUUCAAAAUUAAUUUUAAAAUAUUUUUCGUAAAUUUUGGAAUUUUUGAAAAAUAUAUAUUAAAAAAUUUUGGAAAAUAUUUUUCGUAAAAAAAAAUCCUGAUUUUUUUUUUUAACUAUUACAAAUUUUUUCAAUUUUAAAAAAAAAAUGAAAAAAAUCAAUUAUACAGUUAGCACGCCACAUAAUCAGAUAUGCAUAGUCAGCAUGCCACUCAGCUCGUCACGUCAGCAAUUCUGCACAGUCACAUGGGUCAGGGGCUAAAAUUAAAGAAUCUUAUUUUACAGGGUUGAAAUCUAAUUUUUUUUUUUACAGGGGAUAAACCGAAACUUGCCCAAAUUACAGGGGUAAAGACAUAUAACCCUAUAUAUAUAUAUAUAUAUAUAUAUAUAUAUAUAUAUAUAUAUAUAUAUAUAUAUAUAUUUGUCAAAUUUCAAGAUUGUAAAUCAAUGGAGAAACAAGGUUCUAUAAUGCUCUCUUUUUUUUAAUUACUAUUAUUAUUAUUGUGCAUACGGCCAUUGUGCUAACGGAUUUGUUUCAUUUACUUUUUUUUUGGCUUUCGCAUCAGUUUCCGAUCCAUCAAAGGUUGACGACUAAUCCGGUUCAUGCGUAGAGGUAUGUGCACUGGCCAAGCGUUGUUCCCCUUGGGAAUCGAACCCGGUAUUCUCCGGAUACGUCUUUGGAAUAAACUCCUUGCCACUUGAGCCCAAACAACUUAGUUUGUUUCAUUUACUUUGCUCCAUUUAUGGUCUAUUUAUAAGAGAUGGACAUAUGUGAUAGUUUUGAGGGAUCUACAAAAUCACUAAUCCAUUUAUUAUGUUUAUCUCUAAUAAAUGGACAAGCAAAGCCAAACUUUACGCCAACGGGUAUAAAUAAUUAUAAACAUUUUUUUUGUUGUGUAAAUUUGAUUUCUAUUGUUUAUAUAUUUUCUUACAUCGUGAAGACUCUUGAAGGACUCUAAAUCAUGUUUUAAGUUUGAGUUAUCACUCCCUUCUUCUUUCAAAGAUAUUACAACCUCCUCCUCUCUUGUUUCAAAACAUACACCACUCUCUCUCCAAAAUGCAAAAUUAUAGAUUUUGAUCCGAGUUUAUAUUUUCCGUUAACUUUCGUUUAA
rnacentral:lncRNA from 1 species